rnacentral:rRNA from 1 species
GAUGAACGCUGGCGGCGUGCCUAAUACAUGCAAGUCGAGCGAACGGACGAGAAGCUUGCUUCUCUGAUGUUAGCGGCGGACGGGUGAGUAACACGUGGAUAACCUACCUAUAAGACUGGGAUAACUUCGGGAAACCGUAGCUAAUACCGGAUAAUAUUUUGAACCGCAUGGUUCAAAAGUGAAAGACGGUUUUGCUGUCACUUAUAGAUGGAUCCGCGCUGCAUUAGCUAGUUGGUAAGGUAACGGCUUACCAAGGCAACGAUGCAUAGCCGACCUGAGAGGGUGAUCGGCCACACUGGAACGGAGACACGGUCCAGACUCCUACGGGAGGCAGCAGUAGGGAAUCUUCCGCAAUGGGCGAAAGCCUGACGGAGCAACGCCGCGUGAGUGAUGAAGGUCUUCGGAUCGUAAAACUCUGUUAUUAGGGAAGAACAUAUGUGUAAGUAACUGUGCACAUCUUGACGGUACCUAAUCAGAAAGCCACGGCUAACUACGUG